GACGUAGGGGGGCGAGCGUUUGUCCGGAUUUAUUGGGCGUAAAGAGCGCGUAGGCGGCCCGGAAAGUCGGAUGUGAAAACCCGGGGCUCAACCCCGGGCCUGCAUCCGAUACUCCCGGGCUGGAGGCAGGUAGGGGGAGAGUCGGAAUUCCUGGUGUAGCGGUGAAAUGCGCAGAUAUCAGGAAGAACACCAACGGCGAAGGCAGCUCGCUAGGACGGUACUGACGCUGAGACGCGAAAGCGUGGGGAGCGAACAGG
rnacentral:rRNA from 1 species